UACGUAGGUGGCGAGCGUUGUCCGGAUUUACUGGGUGUAAAGGGCGCGUAGGCGGGGAUGCAAGUCAGGUGUGAAAUCUAUGGGCUCAACCCAUAAACUGCACUUGAAACUGUAUCUCUUGAGUGAUGGAGAGGCAGGCGGAAUUCCUAGUGUAGCGGUGAAAUGCGUAGAUAUUAGGAGGAACACCAGUGGCGAAGGCGGCCUGCUGGACAUUAACUGACGCUGAGGCGCGAAAGCGUGGGGAGCAAACAGGAUUA
rnacentral:rRNA from 1 species